rnacentral:rRNA from 1 species
UACGGGGGGAGCAAGCGUUGUUCGGAUUUACUGGGCGUAAAGGGCGCGUAGGCGGCGCAACAAGUCACUUGUGAAAUCUCCGGGCUUAACCCGGAGCGGCCAAGUGAUACUGUCGUGCUAGAGUGCGGAAGGGGCUACUGGAAUUCUCGGUGUAGCGGUGAAAUGCGUAGAUAUCGAGAGGAACACCUGCGGCGAAGGCGGGUAGCUGGGCCGACACUGACGCUGAGACGCGAAAGCUAGGGGAGCGAACAGG